rnacentral:rRNA from 1 species
AGUCAACCUACCCUAUGGACGGGAAUAAUCUCGGGAAACUGAGGAUAAUGCCCGAUAGAACACUAUGCCUGGAACGGUUUGUGUUCCAAAUGAUUUAUCGCCGUAGGAUGGGACUGCGGCCUAUCAGUUUGUUGGUGAGGUAAUGGCCCACCAAGACUAUUACAGGUACGGGCUCUGAGAGGAGUAGCCCGGAGAUGGGUACUGAGACACGGACCCAGGCCCUAUGGGGCGCAGCAGGCGAGAAAACUUUGCAAUGUGCGAAAGCACGACAAGGUUAAUCCGAGUGGUUCCUGCUAAAGGAACCUUUUGACGGUCCUAAAAACACCGUUGAAUAAGGGGUGGGCAAGUUCUGGUGUCAGCCGCCGCGGUAAAACCAGCACCUCAAGUGGUCAGGAUGAUUAUUGGGCCUAAAGCAUCCGUAGCCGGCUCUGUUAGUUUUCAGUUAAAUCUGUACGCUCAACGUACAGGCUGCCGGGAAUACUGCAGAGCUAGGGAGUGGGAGAGGUAGACGGUACUUGGUAGGAAGGGGUAAAAUCCUUUGAUCUAUUGAUGACCACCUGUGGCGAAGGCGGUCUACCAGAACACGUCCGACGGUGAGGGAUGAAAGCUGGGGGAGCAAACCGGAUUAGAUACCCGGGUAGUCCCAGCUGUAAACCAUGCAAACUCAAUGAUGCACUGGCUUGAAGCCAGUGCAGUGUU